rnacentral:rRNA from 1 species
GAUGAACGCUGGCGGCGUGCCUAAUACAUGCAAGUCGAGCGAACAGACGAGGAGCUUGCUCCUCUGACGUUAGCGGCGGACGGGUGAGUAACACGUGGAUAACCUACCUAUAAGACUGGGAUAACUUCGGGAAACCGGAGCUAAUACCGGAUAAUAUAUUGAACCGCAUGGUUCAAUAGUGAAAGACGGUUUUGCUGUCACUUAUAGAUGGAUCCGCGCCGCAUUAGCUAGUUGGUAAGGUAACGGCUUACCAAGGCGACGAUGCGUAGCCGACCUGAGAGGGUGAUCGGCCACACUGGAACUGAGACACGGUCCAGACUCCUACGAGAGGGAGCAGUAGGGAAUCUUCCGCAAUGGGCGAAAGCCUGACGGAGCAACGCAGCGUGAGUGAUGAAGGUCUUCGGAUCGUAAAACUCUGUUAUUAGGGAAGAACAAAUGUGUAAGUAACUAUGCACGUCUUGACGGUACCUAAUCAGAAAGCCACGGCUAACUACGUG